AGAUAUUACUAGUGCUGACCGACAUGGUGGAAAAGGAUCAUUACUGGAAUAUUAUUAUAUGGUUAAAUCAAGAUAUUACUAGUGCUGACCGACAUGGUGGAAAAGGAUCAUUACUUGCAUAUUAAUAUAUGGUUAACAUCAAGAUUUUACUAGUGCUGACCAACAUGGAGAUGAAAUAUGUGUCAUUAUAUGAAGACUGCGCUACAAGAAAGCCUAUGAAAAGAUCUUACAGUCUAUAUUCUACCACGUUCUACUACAUUGGCAUACUACUAGUUGGAAGAUGGAUAAUUGUUUAAAUUUGAUGAUGUUGUUUCUUUUCCCUGUUCCUAAUAAAGUACUAUAGAACCCUACAUUGUGUUUCUUUACUGCUGCUAUUAUGUAGGCAGAAAUAUGCAUUGUUUGGUCUGAACCUACAGCAUACUCUGAAAACACUGGGUUGUUUUAUCCUAUGGUUGGGUCAAAAAGAACAUUUUCUGUGAAAAGUUUAAAAAGGUUGGUUCCUUUUUCACCCAACCAUGGGUUAAAAAUAACCCAGCAUUGUGUGCGUGCACGCGUAUGUGUGUUCACAAGAGAGAUCUUGUGUCUGGUAAGAGAUUAAACACACAGACUAAUCUGCCAAAUGAAUUCAUGUGAAGUAAAUGUAAUCAAAAUGGCAUGAGCUGAUGAAAAGAUAAUACAAAGAUAACCUUAUAUUUUGACUCUGUUUCAGAACUUGUACUUGACCUUUACAUUGAUGCUUAUUUUCCCCGAUUGAGAAACACCAAAGUUUAGAUGUGGUGGAGGGUUCGGCUGCAGCAGCUGCUCCUGCUUCUAAAUCAGAGACAAGUUGAUGACAACAUUGACGGACGGCAAAGACCCGACGGAACACAGUGAGGGUGGGAGACGGCGGGUAUAUCAAUAAAGAACUUUCUAAAGGAAAGAGUGACCAGAGGAGAACUGGUCCCCCGGUGAAGUCUGGGUUCUCCCAAGGUUUUUUUCUCCACAACAUUUUGGAGUUUUGGUUCCUUGCCACAGUUGCCACUGGCUUGCUCACUGGGGGAAUAUUGAUGUUAAUAAACUCUUUCCACACAAACACUUGGUCUUUAUUUAUUUGUAACAGAAACAACUGCUCAACAAUAUAUGAAAAACCCCACUUAGAACACAACAACCAGCCUGGUCCUCUUAGUUUCUACCUAUGCAUAAACUAAAGUUUCAAGUUUAGUUUUAUAACCACUUUUUUCUUCAAUUCUGAUGGAUGGAUAGGUGCUUGAUUGUGCAGAGAUUUAGAUUACAAAGAAUAAGAUUAAAAAAAUUAUUCUGAAUUGAACAGGCAGCCAAUGAAGGGCCUUCAAGAGUGAAGUGGCGUAUUUCAUUUCUUAGAAGGAAUCUAGAUGCAGCGUUUUGGACCAAUAGAAGACAGGCGAUUUGAGCUUUGGAGAUGUCACAGUAUAAAGAGUUACAAUAAUCGCAAAAUAAGACGCAAUGUAAUAAAAACAUGAACAGCCAUCUCCAAAGUCUUGUCAGUGGGAAAGUGUUUAAACUUUGCAAGUAUACAGAGCUGGUGAAAACUGGAUCCAACCACAGUGGAAAUUUGUUUGUUGAAUUUUAAAAGAACCCCCAGAUUCUGAACUUGUGAGGAACG